UAUUUUUAGCUUACACAAACAAAGAGUUUUCAAGAAUGGGCCAAGAUGAUGAGGACCCAGAAAAGCGUGGGUCAAAAUCAUCAACGCCGUACAAAUGGUUGAGCAACUUUCACCAUGAUCUGGUGGCGGGGGCGGUUAUGGGCGGUGUAGUGCACACGAUUGUGGCCCCGAUCGAGGGAGCGAAACUAUUGUUGCAGACCCAAGACAGCAACCUGACCAUUGUUGGCAGUGGACGAAGAAAAUUUAAGGGUAUGCUUGAUUGUAUUGUUCGUAUAGUCCGAGAAGAAGGCCUUUUUAUCUCUUUGGAGAGGCAAUGGUAGCAGUGUGCUUCGUUAUUACCCUUCUGUUGCACUUAAUUUCUCUUUUAAGUAUUUCCGAGUAAAGAAAAUGGGAAUGCGAUUGACCUGCAAGUCAGACCACCGGGACCUGGAACAGGACAGCCACACUUGUCUUUGCAGUGAACCAUACCUCCUCCCUUUAAUACGUCUGCCAUAAUCUUUUUCCUUCUCUUUGAUUCAGGUUUAAGUUAUUGUGCCUUCUCUGUUAGCUAGCAUUUUUGUUUCUAUCAACUCAUGUUCCAUGUUCUUCUGUUAAACACACAGGUGGCACAAACAGCUGAUUGAUUCAUGGUUUUCAUGGCCUCGCCAUUUCAUGCAUUAGAGACAAUGCCAACAAGUGUACAUGUUCAAUUUUUUACGAAAUUUAAGCCCAAUUGCUUCUCUAAAGCUUAGUUAUAUACAAUUAAAAGAAAACACUUGAAAACAGAAACCUCUUUUGUGGCCCUGCUAUAACAAUUACUUGGUGUUACCAAAGGAGAUUAAUUUCCCAGCAGGAUUAACAAUUGAAGGAUUUAGAAUCUGAUGCACAAUUUCCUCAAAUUCAUUAGUUUCUAUAAUCUGAGUGCAUAAACAUCUAGUAGAAUGGUAAACUUAAUUUGUAGAAUCUCUUGAGCAUAUGAAACUCUGUUAUCAUCCGGAACUCUAGUACAUACUUAAUACUUUGUCGGUAUAAAAUGAACCGAAUGUAAUUUUGGCUAAACAAUUUCGAUGCAGAUACCUUAAUACUUUGUCAGUUAUUCAAGGUACCACUUUUGCAUAAAUAUAGAUGGAGUGAUAUUACUGUGGAGGCUGAAAGUAGUAAAAUCUCUAAUGAAAUCGAGUCUCUUACAGAUCCCGUGUAGAAGAUUCCAAUAGACUGGAGAGUGAUCUUGAAGAGUUGAAUUGCUCUUUGGAUUUAGGUGCAUCACAGUUGGGUCAAGGGAAGGCUAUAGAGGUUCCACAGGCUGAUUGCUCUAAAGAUGGAGAAGAUCGAUCAGAUAUGAUAAAAAUUCAUGAAGACCAGAAAUUUGAGGUGUUAAUCCUGAACACUUUUGUUUAGUGCUUCCAUGAUUGGUUUGUGA